AGGGGAAACCUUAGAACCCCUUUGCGAGAGUGUUAAUAGUCAAUAGCUUGGCCGGCUUUGACGGUUAGUGAAUC
rnacentral:ncRNA from 1 species